rnacentral:rRNA from 1 species
GUCGUACAGGUCUCCGUAGGUGAACCUGCGGAGGGAUCAUUACACAAAUAUGAAGGCGGGCUGGAACCUCUCGGGGUUACAGCCUUGCUGAAUUAUUCACCCUUGUCUUUUGCGUACUACUUGUUUCCUUGGUGGGUUCGCCCACCACUAGGACAAACAUAAACCUUUUGUAAUUGCAAUCAGCGUCAGUAACAAAUUAAUAAUUACAACUUUCAACAACGGAUCUCUUGGUUCUGGCAUCGAUGAAGAACGCAGCGAAAUGCGAUAAGUAGUGUGAAUUGCAGAAUUCAGUGAAUCAUCGAAUCUUUGAACGCACAUUGCGCCCUUUGGUAUUCCAAAGGGCAUGCCUGUUCGAGCGUCAUUUGUACCCUCAAGCUUUGCUUGGUGUUGGGCGUCUUGUCUCUAGCUUUGCUGGAGACUCGCCUUAAAGUAAUUGGCAGCCGGCCUACUGGUUUCGGAGCGCAGCACAAGUCGCACUCUCUAUCAGCAAAGGUCUAGCAUCCAUUAAGCCUUUUUUUUCAACUUUUGACCUCGGAUCAGGUAGGGAUACCCGCUGAACUUA